AUGUUUGUAAUCUUAAUGGUAUAGGUGCUAGCUCAAUACUAACACUGGGACCUGUACGGUCAUUGCCUAGAGCGACACCCCCAAAUGGUAAUACGAAUUUAGGAAAGUAAAGGGAAGUCAGUUUUAGAAAAGUAAUGUACAGUUAUUACAAGAUUUUAAGAAAUCAAUUACGUAACAAACAUUUUCGUAAUUGACGAAAGAAAUUUUAUAAAAUAAUAUAUGCAAGUGUGUUAAAUGAGUAAGCGUAUGCAUUUCUUUUCUGAAAUACAGCAAUUCCUAAAAUUAAAGAUUUUGUGUAAAAAUGUCCUUUUUUAUAUUGAAUGUUGUUGUUUUUAAUUUAACAGUAAUGAUGACUGAUUUUUUUUGUGAUGAUAGAUGAUAGGUUCCUUUGUCUGAUAAGAUAUAAAUAAUACAUUCGUUUUCGGAAUGAUCUAAGUGUAAGCGGUUUAAUUUUCUUAUUCUUAUUAGAAUUCUUCAACAUUGGUUAAUUACACAAAAUAAUCCUGUUGGAUUAGGAUUUUUUGUUUCUUUUAUUUUUGAAACUUCCCUGUUUCAGAGGGCUUUGCAGUUACACUGUUUAAUGUAUGAAAAGUAAAUACACUUUCCAUUUUCAUUUUUUACUAAAAGCUGUACAUUGAGCUUAUAAAUUAUUUCUUUUUUGUGCAAUUUACAUAUGUUGUUAAGUUUUUUUAUCCACAUGUAAAUAUAGUUUAAUGAUAGUUUAAUGUAUUUUUACACUAACUGAAUAAAAGUAAAUAUUUUUUAAAAUGUUAAAUUUUAUUACACAUUACUUCGUUUUAUUUUUUCAUACGUAUAUGAAAUGGAAGCCUUUGCUUUGUAUUAGGGCUAAUGUGCUUGCGAGAUUAGAAACCAUGUACUACAAUAUUAACUGAGCAUCGAUUUGGUCGAGAUUAAGUAGAUCGAAAUCGAGAUCCAUAUUUAAUAGUUAUUACCCAAGAACUUAUAAUGGGUUUAAGAUGAAUAAUUUUUUUUUUGAGUUUACGAUUUGUAAUUUCUGAUAAACGGCAGAAUGCGAAAUUAACUUGAAAUUAAAAUUGUUGAAAAUAACAAAACAUUCAACAGUAGGCAAUUUAAUAAUAAUAAUAAUAAUGUAACAAUACAACAAAUAAUGUUUUUGUGAAUGUAAAAUGUAUUUCUCUAAAUAUAAAAUCUAGCUAUUUAGACUUAAAAUAACGGAUAUUUACAAUUUUCAUGAUAUAAUAUGUAUAAUGUUUUCUUAAGUCACACUUAACUCUUUUUAAAGGCAAAUAUACUUCAUAAAUACAGGUUGUGGACAGAAUAAAUUACAGUAAAAUUGUCAAAUUGCAAAAAAAUACAAGGAAAACGCGAACGAGUUUUUACUAAGUAUAAUUAUUAUUUCUUUUCUUUUCAAUUUUUUAUUAGUUGUUUCUGUUAAGUUUACUUAAUCGACUCCUGCAAAACCUUGCGAACCUUCAAUAGCUUUUAUUAAUUUG